UAGCAAUGAUGAGGACAGUCUCAGAGCAUCUUCUUGUACCUUUCCCAUGCUUAACGCAGUGUCUCGCCAGCUCGUUGUUCAAACCCAAGAAUUUGACUCCUCAAUAC
rfam:Nicotiana sylvestris Nsyl_contig77423, whole genome shotgun sequence.